GUUUUUUUUUUUUUCCCACCUGCCCGCUUCCCAGGGUCGCGAACACUUGGUCUACGCUGAGUCGCGGGUGUAACUCAGUGGACUUGAGACCUCGUGUUCUUCAGUCUCCGGCUGAGGAAGACGCGUUUCAGUUCAGACUAGUCACAUUUCCAGUGCUGAGAAGCAGGCCUUGCCCAGGGUGGCUGCAGGCGCCUGAGGAGUGCAGAGUGGCCUAAGACAGCAGCUGAAGAGACAGAACCUGAUAAGGAAAAUCCAGUAAUUAAGCCAAGGCAAGCAGCAAGGACGCAGGAAAAAUACAGAGGAUGUUUUGUACCUAGUUUUCCCACCACCCUUGCCUGCUGGGGCUGAGGCAUUAUAUAAGGAUAUACAAGCUACAGGCAGUGAUAGUGCAAACAUGGAACAGGCUGGGUUUCCUUGCAGGGUAGGGAGAGUCAUGGUCCCCCAAAUGUUCCACAUUCUCAUCUGAACCUGUGAAUACAUGAUUAAUGUUAGGGACCAUGAGAUGAAAUAGAAACCAAAGAGGAAGGCAGAAGAAUUAGAGACGUGGCAGGAGAGGGACUCAACUUUCCAUUGCUGGCUUUGAAACUGGAGGAAGAAGAUCUUUGAAGCCAAAGAAUACGGUUUCAGCUCUACAAGCUGGGAAUGGCGCUCCGCUGACAGCAAGGACCAGAAACUUCAUUUCUACAGCUGCACGGAACUGACUUCUGCUAACAACCUGGAUGAGCAUGGAAACCGAUGCUCUCCUGGAGUCUCCAGAAAAGAGCACAGCCGUGCUGGUUCCUUGAUUUUAGCCAGUGGGGCUCAUGCCACACUUCUGUCUACAGUGGUAUGAAAAAAAAUUUGUGUUGUUUUA